UGAAAAUGAAAGCAGGUGAGGACACAGAGAGCCAUGGGAGGAGGUAGAGGGUGAACAGGUGGCCUCUCCAGGAAUCUCCUCUAGGAAUAGAGUCACGCAAAGGAAGCCACUUUAAUUUUCUUGCAGAUGACAGUGGAGCUACAAAAGAAGAAACACCAGCGUUCACGGUCCACGUCCUGACCUCUGAAGACUUUGCUGGCAGCUGACCUCACAGAGCCCAGGACGGAACUUGUUCAAAGAAACUCUCUGCCCAUUUAAUCAACUCCUCUGCUGCCCUCCCAGGGCCCUGAUGCUACUACUACAAGAACUUAUUUGUUCAAAUGAAUAUUAACAUUGUAAUUUAGUACCUAAUUAUGCUUCUCUAGCCAUAACUGGAAAUGUGGUAUUAAAAUCCUUACAUGCUC